AUUGAACGCUGGCGGCAGGCCUAACACAUGCAAGUCGAGCGGAUGAAGGGAGCUUGCUCCUGGAUUCAGCGGCGGACGGGUGAGUAAUGCCUAGGAAUCUGCCUGGUAGUGGGGGAUAACGUCCGGAAACGGGCGCUAAUACCGCAUACGUCCUGAGGGAGAAAGUGGGGGAUCUUCGGACCUCACGCUAUUAGAUGAGCCUAGGUCGGAUUAGCUAGUUGGUGGGGUAAAGGCCUACCAAGGCGACGAUCCGUAACUGGUCUGAGAGGAUGAUCAGUCACACUGGAACUGAGACACGGUCCAGACUCCUACGGGAGGCAGCAGUGGGGAAUAUUGGACAAUGGGCGAAAGCCUGAUCCAGCCAUGCCGCGUGUGAGAAGAAGGUCUUCGGAUUGUAAAGCACUUUAAGUUGGGAGGAAGGGCAGUAAGUUAAUACCUUGCUGUUUUGACGUUACCAACAGAAUAAGCACCGGCUAACUUCGUG
rnacentral:rRNA from 1 species